UACGUAGGGGGCAAGCGUUGUCCGGAUUUAUUGGGCGUAAAGAGCGUGUAGGCGGCCAAGCAGGUCCGCUGUGAAAACUCGAGGCUCAACCUCGAGAGGUCGGUGGAAACCGUUUGGCUAGAGUCCGGAAGAGGAGAGUGGAAUUCCCGGUGUAGCGGUGAAAUGCGCAGAUAUCGGGAAGAACACCCGUGGCGAAGGCGGUUCUCUGGGACGGUACUGACGCUGAGACGCGAAAGCGUGGGGAGCGAACAGGAU
rnacentral:rRNA from 1 species